UACGUAGGGGGCAAGCGUUUGUCCGGAUUUAUUGGGCGUAAAGAGCGUGUAGGCGGUCAGGUAGGUCCGUUGUGAAAACUCGAGGCUCAACCUCGAGACGCCGAUGGAAACCAUCUGGCUAGAGUCCGGAAGAGGCGAGUGGAAUUCCCGGUGUAGCGGUGAAAUGCGCAGAUAUCGGGAGGAACACCUGUGGCGAAGGCGGCCCCCUGGUUGGAUACUGACGCUGAUACGCGAAAGCGUGGGGAGCAAACAGG
rnacentral:rRNA from 1 species